rnacentral:rRNA from 1 species
UACGAAGGGGGCUAGCGUUGUUCGGAAUUACUGGGCGUAAAGGGCGCGUAGGCGGGCCAUCAAGUCAGGGGUGAAAGCCCCCGGCUCAACCGGGGAAGUGCCUCUGAUACUGGUGGUCUCGAGGGAGAUAGGGGCGUGCGGAACUUCCGGUGGAGCGGUGAAAUGCGUAGAUAUCGGAAGGAACACCGGUGGCGAAAGCGGCGCGCUGGAUCUCUUCUGACGCUGAGGCGCGAAAGCCAGGGGAGCGAACGGG